GGUUAAGCGACUAAGCGUACACGGUGGAUGCCCUGGCAGUCAGAGGCGAUGAAGGGCGUGCUAAUCUGCGAUAAGCGCCGGUAAGGUGAUAUGAACCGUUAUAACCGGCGAUACCCGAAUGGGGAAACCCAGUGUGAUUCGUCACACUAUCAUUAACUGAAUCCAUAGGUUAAUGAGGCGAACCGGGGGAACUGAAACAUCUAAGUACCCCGAGGAAAAGAAAUCAACCGAGAUUCCCCCAGUAGCGGCGAGCGAACGGGGAGGAGCCCAGAGCCUGAAUCAGCAUGUGUGUUAGUGGAAGCGUCUGGAAAGGCGCGCGAUACAGGGUGACAGCCCCGUACACAAAAGCGCAUGUGCUGUGAGCUCGAUGAGUAGGGCGGGACACGUGGUAUCCUGUCUGAAUAUGGGGGGACCAUCCUCCAAGGCUAAAUACUCCUGACUGACCGAUAGUGAACCAGUACCGUGAGGGAAAGGCGAAAAGAACCCCGGCGAGGGGAGUGAAAAAGAACCUGAAACCGUGUACGUACAAGCAGUGGGAGCACAGGUUUACCUGUGUGACUGCGUACCUUUUGUAUAAUGGGUCAGCGACUUAUAUUCUGUAGCAAGGUUAACCGAAUAGGGGAGCCGGAGGGAAACCGAGUCUUAAUUGGGCGUUAAGUUGCAGGGUAUAGACCCGAAACCCGGUGAUCUAGCCAUGGGCAGGUUGAAGGUUGGGUAACACUAACUGGAGGACCGAACCGACUAAUGUUGAAAAAUUAGCGGAUGACCUGUGGCUGGGGGUGAAAGGCCAAUCAAACCGGGAGAUAGCUGGUUCUCCCCGAAAGCUAUUUAGGUAGCGCCUCGUGAAUUCAUCUCCGGGGGUAGAGCACUGUUUCGGCUAGGGGGCCAUCCCGGCUUACCAACCCGAUGCAAACUGCGAAUACCGGAGAAUGUUAUCACGGGAGACACACGGCGGGUGCUAACGUCCGUCGUGAAGAGGGAAACAACCCAGACCGCCAGCUAAGGUCCCAAAGUCAUGGUUAAGUGGGAAACGAUGUGGGAAGGCCCAGACAGCCAGGAUGUUGGCUUAGAAGCAGCCAUCAUUUAAAGAAAGCGUAAUAGCUCACUGGUCGAGUCGGCCUGCGCGGAAGAUGUAACGGGGCUAAACCAUGCACCGAAGCUGCGGCAGCGAACGUAUCACUUAAAGCGAUUCAGCGGGUUACGAUUGACGGAGCGAAGCGACGUCAAAGCGUAUACAAAGUCGAGUCGGUUUAAGGAUACGUUCGUUGGGUAGGGGAGCGUUCUGUAAGCCUGUGAAGGUGGCCUGUGAGGGUUGCUGGAGGUAUCAGAAGUGCGAAUGCUGACAUAAGUAACGAUAAAGCGGGUGAAAAGCCCGCUCGCCGGAAGACCAAGGGUUCCUGUCCAACGUUAAUCGGGGCAGGGUGAGUCGACCCCUAAGGCGAGGCCGAAAGGCGUAGUCGAUGGGAAACAGGUUAAUAUUCCUGUACUUGGUGUUACUGCGAAGGGGGGACGGAGAAGGCUAUGUUGGCCGGGCGACGGUUGUCCCGGUUUAAGCGUGUAGGCUGGUUUUCCAGGCAAAUCCGGAAAAUCAAGGCUGAGGCGUGAUGACGAGGCACUACGGUGCUGAAGCAACAAAUGCCCUGCUUCCAGGAAAAGCCUCUAAGCAUCAGGUAACAUCAAAUCGUACCCCAAACCGACACAGGUGGUCAGGUAGAGAAUACCAAGGCGCUUGAGAGAACUCGGGUGAAGGAACUAGGCAAAAUGGUGCCGUAACUUCGGGAGAAGGCACGCUGACACGUAGGUGAAGUGAUUUACUCAUGGAGCUGAAGUCAGUCGAAGAUACCAGCUGGCUGCAACUGUUUAUUAAAAACACAGCACUGUGCAAACACGAAAGUGGACGUAUACGGUGUGACGCCUGCCCGGUGCCGGAAGGUUAAUUGAUGGGGUCAGCGCAAGCGAAGCUCCUGAUCGAAGCCCCGGUAAACGGCGGCCGUAACUAUAACGGUCCUAAGGUAGCGAAAUUCCUUGUCGGGUAAGUUCCGACCUGCACGAAUGGCGUAAUGAUGGCCAGGCUGUCUCCACCCGAGACUCAGUGAAAUUGAACUCGCUGUGAAGAUGCAGUGUACCCGCGGCAAGACGGAAAGACCCCGUGAACCUUUACUAUAGCUUGACACUGAACAUUGAGCCUUGAUGUGUAGGAUAGGUGGGAGGCUUUGAAGCGUGGACGCCAGUCUGCGUGGAGCCGACCUUGAAAUACCACCCUUUAAUGUUUGAUGUUCUAACGUGGACCCGUAAUCCGGGUUGCGGACAGUGUCUGGUGGGUAGUUUGACUGGGGCGGUCUCCUCCUAAAGAGUAACGGAGGAGCACGAAGGUUGGCUAAUCCUGGUCGGACAUCAGGAGGUUAGUGCAAUGGCAUAAGCCAGCUUGACUGCGAGCGUGACGGCGCGAGCAGGUGCGAAAGCAGGUCAUAGUGAUCCGGUGGUUCUGAAUGGAAGGGCCAUCGCUCAACGGAUAAAAGGUACUCCGGGGAUAACAGGCUGAUACCGCCCAAGAGUUCAUAUCGACGGCGGUGUUUGGCACCUCGAUGUCGGCUCAUCACAUCCUGGGGCUGAAGUAGGUCCCAAGGGUAUGGCUGUUCGCCAUUUAAAGUGGUACGCGAGCUGGGUUUAGAACGUCGUGAGACAGUUCGGUCCCUAUCUGCCGUGGGCGCUGGAGAACUGAGGGGGGCUGCUCCUAGUACGAGAGGACCGGAGUGGACGCAUCACUGGUGUUCGGGUUGUCAUGCCAAUGGCACUGCCCGGUAGCUAAAUGCGGAAAAGAUAAGUGCUGAAAGCAUCUAAGCACGAAACUUGCCCCGAGAUGAGUUCUCCCUGAGACUUUAGGUCUCCUGAAGGAACGUUGAAGACGACGACGUUGAUAGGCCGGGUGUGUAAGCGCAGCGAUGCGUUGAGCUAACCGGUACUAAUGAACCGUGAGGCUUAACCUU
rnacentral:rRNA from 1 species